UACGGAGGGUGCGAGCGUUAUCCGGAAUUACUGGGUUUAAAGGGUGCGUAGGCGGCGCUGUAAGUCAGGAGUGAAAGUUUGCGGCUCAACCGUAAAAUUGCUUUUGAUACUGCGGUGCUGGAAUUAGGAUGAGGUCAGCGGAAUGUGGCAUGUAGCGGUGAAAUGCUUAGAUAUGACAUAGAACACCGAUAGCGAAGGCAGCUUACUACAGGAAGAUUGACGCUGAGGCACGAAAGCGUGGGGAGCAAACAGG
rnacentral:rRNA from 1 species